ACAGGUGCUAAUGAAAGAAUGCAAAUAGCACCGGCUGAGCCGAACAUUUCAUAAAGACGGGAACAGCCCCCGACCCCAGCCAGCCCCGGAUCCGCUGCCGGCACCCACCGAAGAGCUGUGGAUUUUCCAUCGGGCAUCUCCUUACCGGGGCUGAAGAUACCAACCUUCUCGGUGGAAGGGGAUGAGCAGAUCUUCCCACUUAGUCCUGAGGUAUACAACAAGGAUUUUUGUUUUGUUUGCUAUUGU
rnacentral:lncRNA from 1 species